UACCAGCACCCCGAGUGGUCGGGACGUUUAUUGGGCCUAAAGCAUCCGUAGCCGGUUCUGCAAGUCUUCCGUUAAAUCCACCUGCUUAACAGAUGGGCCGCGGAAGAUACUAUAGAGCUAGGAGGCGGGAGAGGCAAGCGGUACUCGAUGGGUAGGGGUAAAAAUCCGUUGAUCCAUUGAAGACCACCAGUGGCGAAGGCGGCUUGCCAGAACGCGCUCGACGGUGAGGGAUGAAAGCUGGGGGAGCAAACCGG
rnacentral:rRNA from 1 species